rnacentral:rRNA from 1 species
GCCAGCAGCCAUAUCACCAUGCAACUCACAACUGGCAGCCUACUGAAGCUCAGCAGCUGGGAGCCUGGUCAGUACCUGGAUGGGAGACCUCCUGGGAAAAACUAAGGAUGCUGCUAGAA